UACGUAGGUCGCAAGCGUUGUCCGGAUUUACUGGGCGUAAAGAGCGCGCAGGCGGCUGGUCAAGUCCGAUGUGAAAUCUCCCGGCUUAACUGGGAAACUGCAUCGGAAACUGAUCGGCUUGAAGGUGGGAGAGGGUAGUGGAAUUCCCGGUGUAGCGGUGAAAUGCGUAGAUAUCUGGAGGAAUACCGGUGGCGAAGGCGGCAUCCUGGACCGACAUUGACGCUGAACGGCGAAAGCUAGGGGAGCAAACGGG
rnacentral:rRNA from 1 species